AACAGACACUUCCUGUACAGGGGAGGGGGGAGGGGGCCAGGCAGCCGUUAGACAGCACAACCGAACCCAACACCGGGGCCCAACGGCAGGGGCUUGGGCAGGAGCAAGGUCCGAGGGCUGCCAGGUCCACGCUGCUUUUAUGAGCUGUAACACUCACCGCGAAGAUCUGCAGCUUCACUCCUGAGCCCAGCGAGACCACGAGCCCACCGGGAGGAACAAACAACUCCAGACGCGCUGCCUUAAGAGCUGUAACACUUGCCGUGAAGGUCUGCAGCUUCACUCCUGAGCCAGCGAGACCACGAACCCACCAGAAGGAAGAAACUCCGAACACAUCUCAACAUCAGAACGGACAGACUCCAGACGCACCACCUUAAGAGCUGUAACACUCACCGCGAGGUUCCGCGGCUUCAUUCUUGAAGUUCGUGAGCCACACAUCUCCCCACACCAAGCUCCUCCAUACAAGACCUCGGACUGCAUCACGUAAAUGCUUUUUCAGGGGCAAAAUCUAGAGAAUCUGAAACGAGCUAUCAGCUUCCCAGUUUGCACAAUUCAUCAAGAAAUUAUGCGGGGUCACUGGCACAAAUGAUGAGGCAUCUCCUGGAAGCUUAACUUCUUAUCCAUCCCAUCUCUUGGACAGAUGAUGCCAGUUAAUUACUUUGAAUCCAGGUGCUCACCUUCUAGCACAUUCUUCAAGAGUUACUCUGAGGCAAGCCAGCCGCCAUGUCAUGAGGACACUCAAGCAGCACCAUGGAGAGGUCCGAUGGCGAGGAACAGAGGAUCCCCCUGCCGACAGCCAAUGAGGAACAGGCCUCCUGCCAACAGCCGUGUAAGGGGUCACCUUGGAAGCCAAUGGCCCCUCCCUGGUCAGGCUUUUACAUGACUGCAGUCCUGGCCAACAUCCUGACGGCAACCUCAUGAGAGACCUUGAGCCAGAGCCACCCACCUAAGCUGCUUAUAGGUUCCUGGCCCUCAGAAAUCACAUGAGAUCAUAAAUGUUUGCUCAAUUUGAGAUAUUUGUGAUGUAGCAAUAAAUAACAAACACACUUACCUUUCAGGGUUAUUAUGAGAAUUAAGAGUUAAUACACAUCAAACUACAACCAAACUUGCUGGGACCAGAGGCUCAAGAAAGGGCAGACAGGGCCGGGUGCAGUGGCUCAUGCCUGUAAUCCCAAUACUUUGGGAGGCCGAGGCAGGUGGAUCAUCUGAGGUCAGGAGUUCGAGACCAGCUGGCCAACAUGGUGAAACCCUGUGUCUACUAAAAAUACAAAAAUUAGCCAGGCAUGGUGGCGGACACCUGUAAUCCCAGCUACUCG
rnacentral:lncRNA from 1 species